GACGUAGGUGGCGAACGUUAUCCGGAAUUAUUGGGCGUAAAGGAUGCGUAGAUGGUGUAGUAAGUUAUCGGUGGCAAAUCGAGGCUCAACCUCGUGGAAGUCGGUAAUACUGCUAUGCUAGAGGAUAGGAGAGGUUAACGGAACUCCAUGUGGAGCGGUAAAAAUGUGUAGAUAUAUGGAAGAACACCAAUAACGGCGAAGGCAGUUAACUAUUCUGUUACUGACAUUGAGGCACGAAAGCGUGGGGAGCAAAACGG
rnacentral:rRNA from 1 species